rnacentral:rRNA from 1 species
AGUGAACGCUGGCGGUAGGCCUAACACAUGCAAGUCGAACGGCAGCACGGUAAGAGCUUGCUCUUACGGGUGGCGAGUGGCGGACGGGUGAGGAAUACAUCGGAAUCUACUUUUUCGUGGGGGAUAACGUAGGGAAACUUACGCUAAUACCGCAUACGACCUACGGGUGAAAGCAGGGGAUCUUCGGACCUUGCGCGAUUGAAUGAGCCGAUGUCGGAUUAGCUAGUUGGCGGGGUAAAGGCCCACCAAGGCGACGAUCCGUAGCUGGUCUGAGAGGAUGAUCAGCCACACUGGAACUGAGACACGGUCCAGAGUCCUACGGGAGGCAGCAGUGGGGAAUAUUGGACAAUGGGCGCAAGCCUGAUCCAGCCAUACCGCGUGGGUGAAGAAGGCCUUCGGGUUGUAAAGCCCUUUUGUUGGAAAAGAAAAGCAGCAGGUUAAUACCCCGCUGUUCUGACGGUACCCAAAGAAUAAGCACCGGCUAACUUCGUG